AAAUCGAUUCCCUAAGUAGCGGCGAGCGAACGGGGAAUAGCCCAAACCAAAGAGCUUGCUCUUUGGGGUUGUAGGACUGAACAUUUGAGUUACCAAAGUUAAUGAUAAUCGAAGAGUCUGGGAAGACUCGGCACAGAGGGUGAUACCCCCGUAGAUGAAAUUGUUGACCCUCAGUUCAGGAUCCUGAGUACGGCCACACACGUGAAACGUGGUCGGAAUCCGGGA
rnacentral:rRNA from 1 species